GAGAAGCUUUUGACCGCCGAUUCGCUGAGAGUAGCUGCCCGUCGUCAUGUUAAGAGUUUCGUGACUGCUUACCGGUGGUGGAGGUGGACCUGUCGACCGGAGUCGCAGGUGGAACCCGGUGUGUUUCCGUCAGAACACUCGACAGACCGUUGGAUUAUUCUAAAAGAGGGAAUUUUUUGAAUUGGUAGAAAGGUUUCAGAGGGCUGCACCAAUCAGAAGCAAGGGACCGUUGGUCGGUAGGGUGGUUAGUCAAGCGGUCCGAAGGAGGAAAGCUUUUCUCGAGUCUCGUGCCUGAGAGAGAAUUACCUACCUUUUUUUUUACACUGAUACUAUUUGAUACUAAAUUGUUUCUAAAUGAUGUUUUUCUCUAUUAAAGAAGUCGCCAUAAACAAGCCAAUCUAAUUAG
rnacentral:lncRNA from 1 species